UAAAACGCUAAAACCAUGACUAAAACAUGCAGCAGUCGUGACCAUGAUCGUGAAGAUAUUAUCUUGUUCUGCAAACCAUCUCGGAGGAGGACUACUAGGCCGGACUUUAAAGGAGAAAAUUGAACCCAUGAUGCAGAAUCCUGAUAAAAACAUCGACAUGAU